rnacentral:rRNA from 1 species
CAGUAGCCGCGGUAAUACAGAGGGUGCGAGCGUUAAUCGGAUUUACUGGGCGUAAAGCGUGCGUAGGCGGCUAAUUGAGUCGGAUGUGAAAUCCCUGAGCUUAACUUAGGAAUUGCAUUCGAUACUGGGAAGCUAGAGUAUGGGAGAGGAUGGUAGAAUUCCAGGUGUAGCGGUGAAAUGCGUAGAGAUCUGGAGGAAUACCGAUGGCGAAGGCAGCCAUCUGGCCUAAUACUGACGCUGAGGUACGAAAGCAUGGGGAGCAAACAGGAUUAGAUACCCCUGUAGUCCCUGUCUCUUAUAC